ensembl:misc_RNA Metazoa_SRP Metazoan signal recognition particle RNA
GCCUGGCAUGGUGGCAAGUGUCUGUAGUCUCAGCUACUCAGGAGGCUGAGGUGGGAGGACUGCUUGAGCCCUGGAGUCCUGGUCUGCGUGCGUUAUGCUGACUGGGUGUUGGCACUAAGUUUGGCAUCAAUGUGUUGACCUCUCAGGAAUUCGGGACCACCAGCUUCCCCAAGAAGCGGUGAAUGGGCCCAGGUUGGAAAUGGAGCAGGCGGAAAUUCCUGUACUGAUCAGCAGUGGGCUCACACCUGUGAAGAACCCCUGAACUCUAGUCUGGGCAACAGUAAGACCCCAUCUCU